rnacentral:lncRNA from 1 species
UUUUUUUUGUUAUCAUUUGAUAUCGGAGUCGAGCAUAGAAUCGUUCUAACGAUUCUAAUCUUGGGUUUUUUGUCAAAAUAAAAUAAAAUAAAAAUAUAAAAUUAUCAAAAUAAAUAAAUAAAUUGUUUUUGAUUUUGUGUUUUGUUUGAGUUUUAGAUACUAAAAAUCGUGUUGUCUAGUAUUUAUUGUGUCAAGAUCUGGGAUUUGAGCUUGAUUGGAGUUGAUUUGAGGAUUCCACCGUUGUUGGGUCCUUGAAGCUUGAAGAAGAAGAAGUGAAUUCUUAGAUCCCGAGUAAAUUGGAUAUUUAUUUGUAUUGGGGUUUGUUCUCCUAAUCAUUUGAAUCUUGGAGCUAGGUGUGUGCAUCGAUCAGUUCGUUUUGAUUUUAUGUAUUACUGAUUCGAUUUAUCGAUUUUUGAUUUUAUAAUAUACUAAAUCAAUAACCAUAUCAAUAAGAUAUUUUUAUCAAUUUUUGAUUUAUCAGUAUUUAACCUUAGCGUUUUGAUUUCAGUUUAACCAAUAAAAAAAUACUCAUAAAGUAGAAAUAAUAGCAACUAACAUGAAAAUAAAAUGAAUCUUUGUUGCAGUUAAAAUCCUACAUGAUGCAUUUUAAUUUAUUAGAAUCUCCAAGCUUGAAUUGGUUUUCUAGAAAUUGAAUAAGUUUGUAGAAAUUAAAGAGAAAUAUAUAAUAAGCAUUAUGUCUUAUAUAAGUAGAGGAAAAGUAAUAGUUUAAUAUAUACUUAUUAGGUUACUCAUUUACCCAAUAACCCAAUCAGAUAAAAUGAAAAUCGGACUAAUAAACCAAUAAAAAUUAGGGAAAGGACGAAAAAACCAUUCGAUUAACACAAUUGACAAUCAAAUCGCCAUUGAAUUCAAUUCCUAAACUGUAGCCUUUCCAUGUGUUGUUUGUUGCUGCUUAGCCUUUUUUUUUUACUUUAAAUCUUCCUCUGCUAUCUUUUUCUUUGAAUUGUAACUAUUGCAUUUCUUCUUCUUUUCUUUUCACUAGUUGUUCUUUUGCUUUUCUUUUUGUUGGUUUUUUUUUUUUUUUAAAUACUCUUAUAAUAAAAAGAAAAAAGAAUAUGUAAGUGUAUAUUUGAUAGCAGAUAUAUGUAUCUAGAUAAUUGUAUCUUCUUCUAAUGUAUUGAUGCAGCCUUCAUACGUAUUGAUACAAUACACUAGAUAUCUGAUACACAUACUGCACAUAUACAUAUUUUAUACAACAAUGAUACAACUUCCAUACGCAUCAUAACAAGAAUUAUAUUAUUUCUAUACACAUCCUUUACAAGUUUUAGCUGCAAUGAUUAUUCAUAUAAAUAUUCUAUACAAUAAUGGUACAAUUUUUAUAAGCAUCAUAUACAGAUACAUAUUUUCUACAACAAUUAUAUAAUUUUUAUACACAUCCUUUAUCGUUUCUUUAUAUAUAUAGUGUACGGAUACAUAUUUUACACAAUAACUAUACGGUUUCUAUACACUUCUCCUCUUUCUCGCUCUCUCUAUAAGUGUCUGAUGUACAGAUAUAUAUUUUAUACAAUAAUUAUAUAAUUUUUAUACACAUCCUAUAUAGUUUCUACAUAUAUCUUAUAUAUAUAAUUAUUUUAUACAAUAACUAUAUAGUUUUUAUAAUUGUAUUUAACUAUUUUUUAUUUAAAAAAGCAAAGUUUAAGUUAAAAAUUGUAGCAAAAAAACCGCUGAAACAUUUAAGAAGAAGAGUCAAAUGACCCAAAUUUGAAAUGACAGAAAAUGGCUAUUUUUAGGAGUAGUAUGGACAUUAAAUGUCAAUUGGCUCACACAUGGGCCAUUUCUUUUGAGGAGGUGGGCCACCUGGUGUCUUUUCACUUAUUUUUUUUUUAAAAUUACUAAAAAAUGAUUAACUCAAUAACCCAAUAUCAAUAAACUAAUAACAUUUUUAUUGAUUCAAUUUGUUGAUCAGUUUGAUUUUUGUACCGCGCUACAUGAAUCUAAAAUUUGGUCUAAAACGGAAUAUAAAUCUAUUGGGUUAAAUUUUGGGUGUUCUUUAUGUUCUUGGUGUUCUUUAUGACUUGAAAAAAAUUAUAAAUUGACUUUGAAAUAUGAAAAAUUUAAUCUUGAAAUUGAAUGUUAAAAUGCAUUGGAGAUUAUUUCCCAUGACGAAGGGAGCUUAGAUCUCGAAUUUUAUCGAGUUUCGAGUUAAAAUGAAGAAGUUGUGAUUUUUGGCAGCUCAUAGUGUUCUUCAGAUUCUUCAUGUCUUGAAGAAGAAGAAUAUUCAAAAAAGAUGAAUUUGAUUCAAAAAGGGAAAGUAAAAAGAAGGUCUACUUUUUUUGCUAAAGAAAUACUUGUUGCGUCCUAGCGCACACGCACGUGUAUGUGGUCACCCAAGUAGUAAAGUGGCCCUUUCGAGCCGAAUAUCAAUCCCACUGGGACUUAGUGGUUAAGAACUAUCAAAUUUAAGCAUUACUAAUUAGAUUGAAUAAGCACAAGUGUAAUUAAUUAAGCAAUUGAGUUUGAUUAUUAUAAACUAAAUAGCAAAAGGUAAUAAUGGUAUGUAGUUUGGAUUGUAAACAAUUUGAAGAGAGUUUCAGAGUUGAGACGCUUACUUCACAUUCAUGCAUAACUAUGGUUUCUAGCCGGUGUUGGUGUUUAUCGUGAUUAUUAGUUGACGGGGUUGAUAUAUUUUGAGAGUGGUCAUCCUUCAAGUCAUCUAUCCAAAUUAAUCUCACAACUACAUCGUUGAGCGGGGAUGUGAGUCUUUAACUUGGAUGCAUUAAACCAUCUUCCCAUUUCGUUAAUCAAGUUGGACGUUUUAGGUAUAUCUCUAUCCUAAACACAAAUCAUCCUCUAAAAAUUAGUAUUUAAUCAUUAAAAAAAUGAUCCACACUUCUUACAUUCUUCAUUCCAUUCCUCUACUCCUAUGGUCAAUUCCUUUUAGGACUUAGAUUUAUUCUAAAGUUCAUGGCGCUUUAGAAUAGUAAAAUAAGAAUGGAAGAACAAUCACAUACUUGAUAAACAUAUAAACAAACUAUAAAUCACCAUACAUAAUAAUGAUUUUAGCUUCAACCCUAUAUUGAUGGUGUUUAGCCACUCAUUGUCAUACAAAGAAUCACCAUAGAUGAGUUCAUAAAGCAAAACUACAAGAAAGUAAAGUUUAAGAACAAAGAACCCUAGUAUGAGCUCCUUGGUGCCUUGUCUUCUCUCUAAUUCGUGUAUUGAUCCAAAGAUGAGAUUAUAUUGUGACUAAGUGACCCUUUUGUAGUGUUUUAGGUCAUCGAUAUUUAUCCCAAUAGGAACUAUAUACAUUGACAACAUUGCCCAUCACUUAAGAAGAUGAAAAAUCACUUUUGGCCGUUUUUCAUCCUUGGGCGUGGCAUGCCUUUAUCACAUAUGUCCAAGGGCGUUUCACGCCAUUAACAUGGAUGAAAACUAUUUUUGACAUGUUAUUUUGUGUCUUAUAUCAUGGCACACCCUUAUCUCAAAGGUUUGAGGGCGUGGCACGCCCUUGUGCUCAGAAACACCAUUUUUCGUAGUAGUUUACUCCUUCAAUUUGCCUUGAAGUUCUGCACUUUAUGACUGGAUUUCCCACUUCAUUUUUAGUCUUGUUUAGAUUCUCAACAUUUCUUUUAACAUCAUUCAUGGUCUCCUAUAACAUCAAACAAGACGAACUAGUGCAUACAACACAACAGAGUCCGCCGAGAUACACUAGCACAACACACAACUCAAGCUAGUAACACUAGUUUUCUUGUCUAAACUCUAUGUGACCAAUUUAAUUAUUAACUUGUUUUGAACACACCUUAAACACUAUGAAGUAUAGUUUAACACAUAAAUGCUCAAUUAUAACAUAAACAACUCAUUAUACACAUAAGAAAUCCUUAAAACUAGGAUAAACAAAUAAAUAAUGACACUUAGGUGCAUAAAUACACCUAAGACCACCACCUCACACUUAAAGCCUUGUUCGUCCUCGAACAACUAUUUACAUUAAGUACUAUCCAAGGAAGACUCCAACAUUACUACUAUAGGAAAUAAACUUGAGAUAGCACUACAAUGACUACAUGAUUAGCAAGUUCCACACCAAGCAUGCCUUAUUAAAAUUGAAACUCAUGAACAUCACUCUGAAAUAUCUUAACCUUAAGAAUUGACUCUACCAAGUUGGAAAACUCAUGCAUAUUACUCAAUAAUAGAGAUCAUACAAUUCACCUAACUAUCAUUAAACAUGCACCCUCACCAAAAUAUAGUUACCCAUAUUUACUCAUAGAUAUGCAUGCCACCACAAGAAUGGGUUUAAGAAUCAAUUUCACUCACUUUCACAAAGAAUUCUCAUGUCACAUAAGAUGAACCAUAACCUUUCCCUUAGUGUAGUACUCCACUAAUAUCAAAAUGUUAGGGAUAAAGAUCAAAUACGACUUUAAAGGUUGCAAUGUAGGAUAAGGGAUGGAUAAGAACUAUUCUAGCUAGUAAUAAUGACUAUCUUUUCUAAGUGCUUUAAUACAUCAUAUUAUGCAUUGAACUCCUCUCUAAACAACCAAUUUCUCACCACUUUUAUCUUUCCACUUCACUCUUGAUUUGCCCUAUCUCUUUAAGCUAUGUAUGGAGGGAGUAUUUUUAAUUAACUCAUGAUUAAAUUUUGAUCUUUUCAUUACACCCCUCCCAACCACAUUACAUUAAAAUUUUCAUACUAAUAAUUACUAUUUUUUUGGGGCUUCACUUUUUUCUCUUUCCUUCAUAAGUGUUACACUCCUUAACCAUGCUAUUUUUUUUUAACUAAAACUCUUUGGAGCUCUGGAUCAAAUUACAGUCAAUUAAAGAAAGGGAAUAGGCUACAUAUGAGGCUACCAAAGAAUAAGCUAAAUGUUCAACAGGUCUAGCAAAGAUCAUACAAUAAGGGUAGAUAAAGAGGUAGAAAACAUGACUAUCAAAGAAAUUCCUAUAUCAUCUCCUAAAUCCAUAAUUUUAUUUCACUUUGCACACACACUAGACUAAUUCUCGACCUAAAUAUGCAAUAAGAGAUGCAAGAAAAGACCUCACUCACAUAAGGCUCAUGCUCAAAUUAAGUUGGAUCCCUAUAGACUCUAAACUAAAAAAUAACAAGAAUUUAAAAUUAAGCCAACAACACAUAAGAAUCAUAUAAAUAAGCUUAGGUGUAUAAAAAUGUAACACCUCGAGACUAACCCCUGGAUGUCACACAGUGCUUAUGACCACAAGUAAUCCCAAGCUAACUCUUAUACUGGCAUAAAUCGUGAGCAACUAAAUAAGAUACAUUAAUCAGAAAGAAAUAUGCUGAAGAGAAGUCUUUACUAAGUAGGUUCUAUACAAAACUGUGUAAAAUGAUUUCAACUCUGGUUAUACAAAACAAAACUGAAAUCAAAUACAUCAACUCUACUGGCUGUCUAUGAAGCCUCUACUAAUACUGACUAUAGGUAGCUGGGACAUGACCCCCAGCUAUCCUUGAUCAAUACUACUGAAUAAAGAAAAAAAAUCCUACUCGAACUAUAAUUGACUCGAGCCCUCGAAUCAAAAGGGCUCAUCACCUGCUAACUGAAAGUUGCAUACUGUAUGAUUAUGAUGUGUGGGCUGCAACUAGUACCUAUAUUAUGAGACAAUAUAGCAAUAGACAUAUAUGUGGAUCAAUACUUCUGGAAUGUACUGAGUAUAUGAGGGUGAAUGCAUAAGUAAAACAAUAGCUGAAUAUUUAUAUAAACUUUUAAAUAAUUCAUGCUAAGUAUAAAUGACUCACCUUGGGCUUCAAUAAAAUAAAAGCUGUAAAAUCAUAAACAUGAGUAAUGAAGCAUAAGUAUAAACUUUGUGAGCGAUAACACUUAGUUUGAAAAACUUUUCUUUUGUUUUUUCUUAUUGAGGUUCUUCUAACCGACAUAAACCAUGUGAGCUAUCAUGGAGUCCAACGUCUUACUCACGUUGGGGAGAGUUGUCCUACCCUUGCCAUCGAAAUAGGACCUUAACUAAAGUGAUCACUAUCUCUAUACUAGGAAUAAGCUUAACCUACGUUGGAUUGUAGUUCUGGGGCAUAUGACCUUGGACAUAUACCCAACUCGGUGCUAAAUACUACUCCCUUAUUACUUAAUGCUCAUACUUUAGGAAAUCCACCUUAAAAUAGCUUAAGGGUUUAUAAUGAAAACCAGUUAUGCUUUUCUUUGCUUUAAAUUAUAAUCAAGAUAAAAAAAUGUGGAUUCCAUCUUUUAGCUGAAGAUCAAAAGAUCAAGUCUUGCUUUAAAUCUUAAAAUAAGCUUGUCAUAGAAUGCUUAAAAGCAUAAUCUUCUUGAUAUCUCAACACCUAAACUUAGGGCUUACAAUUUAUGCUUUAAACUCAUGGUAAUUCAUACCAAAACUUCAUGCUCAAUAUAAUUCUUGAAAUACUUCAACAAUAACAAGUCAAGAUAGUGAAAUCUUAUUCAUAAUAUAAAUCUUAUAAGUUGAAACAUAAAUGUAAGCACUUCUUGAUAUACUUAAAACUUUAAAUAUCAUGAUAAUAACAUGCUUCAAGAAUAUAGAAACUUGGGUAUGAACCCUACUUUAAAACAAGUAAAUAGAAAUCUUAAAAUCAUGCAAUUUGAGCACAAAGGCAAAAUGAUACCAUUGUUCAUAACCCCACAUACCUUAAUUAAAGGAAUUCUUGAAGAAAUCUUGAAAUUGACACUUGAAUUUCUUGGGGAAGUAAGCUUGAAUUUAUUGAUCUUGAAAAGAGAGACUUGAAUUUUUGGUGAGAAACCCUAAUCUUGAUGUUCUUGAUAUUCUUGAAUUUGAGUCUUGAGACUUGGGAAAUGCUCUUGCAAAAAACCCUAGAUGGUUGUUCUUGAGUACGGGAGAGGAAAUAACGUGUUAUGUGUUUAAGAAUUAGGAAAAAUACACUUAAUAGAGGAUUUUAAGUCGUGGGGGUUGGGUUUGAGGUGAGGAAAAGACCAAAAUACCUUUUCGAAGCUGAAUAAGAAUUGUUGAAUUUUUCUUUAGUUGAUGACUUGGUCGAUUUCUUAUCAACUUGGUUUAUUGACUAUCAGCCUAGUCAUCAACUCCCUUUCAUGUUCUUAUUAUGGGUGAUGACAGGACUGAUGGCUUAUCAACUUGUUGAUAGCCUAUCAACCUAGUCAUCAACUCCUUCAGAGUUAUCGCCUAAAGUUGACAACUUUGGCUGAUGGUCGUCAACUUGGUUGAUAACCUACCAGCUUAGUCGUUACGUUCUUCAAAGAUUUUGCCUAAGGUUGAUGACUUGACUGAUGGUUCAUCAACUUGUGCAUAGCCUAUCAGCCUAGUCGUCACCUUGAUGACAGAUGGAUAUGCUGAGGUAAAGUGGGCAUAACUUUUCACUCCGAUGUCGGAUUAAGGUGAAACCAGAUACAUUGAAAAGACAACUGAAAUAACUUUGAUAUAUAGUAGGACACGUGAAUCAAUAUAUUCUAGGAUAUGCACUCAUCUAAAGUAGACCUUAGCUGGAGAAUUUGUCAAAAUUCUAUCGUUAGAAAAGUCCUCAACUCGUCUUUGAGUUAGGAGGGUAUUAUGACCUCUACUAAUAUAUAAAGAUAUUCCCACAUCAUAUAUUUUAUAAUCAUACAUGUAUAUACAUGGAAUAAUUGGGUUCAAGUCUGUACGCAUAGGAACAACGAUUUAAUUCUAGCCCAAAAAUAUGAAGUGUUACAUUAUCUCUUCUAUGGGAAAAUUCAUCCUCGAUUGAGACUGGUUAGCUGAGAAUACUGGGAGAACUGAGAUCAUAUAUUGAGCAUGCUUGACUGGAAACAUGAUUAUAUGACUGAGUCCGAAACAUGAUACAUGGCUGAAUUAAUUUCAUGAAUACAUGUAAUAAUAUGAGAAUGGUUAUAAGGCUGAGAUAAAAACGAGAGAGUCAACUUAUAAGUACCCAUUACUUCAAGCUGUAUCUUAUUUUGUGAAGAAAAGUUGAGAGAUUUAGUACAUGAAAACUUGGGGGCAUUACAACAUCUCUCCCUUGGGAUAGUCCAUCCCUCGAAUGAUACUGACUUGGAUGAAAUACUAAGGAAAGACUGAGAUGAUGUAAGGGACACGUACGGACUGAAUCAUGAUUGAAUAUCUGGAAUCUAAAACUGAUGCCUGCUGCACGAAAUAAUCUGAAUUUGCAAAUUACCAGGAUGUAAACAUUUNNN